CAAGGGAUCAAAAAUAUUUUAAAACGAAGCUUUUAAAUUGAUUUAUUUAUAUUUUGUUCCGAUCACGUGAUCGGAGCAUAGCGCACAUGCGCAAAUCGAUUGGUGGCGAAAACACUUCCUGGAUUGCACGGAGUGCUCAGUGGCCGGCUGGAAACACAAAGCUCCAUGGGAAAUAGAGUCCUGCCGGCCACUGGGCGCUCCUAUAAUAGGAUACAUGCGUGGGAUCACAUUAAGAGAUAAAGAAAAAAGCAAUAUAUAAUAAAAUGAUGAAAUUAAAAGCAUUUAAAGUAUAAAAACAUUGGUUUGAAA